rnacentral:misc_RNA from 1 species
CUCUGGCUAAUCUGUAAAAACAUCAUAGCUGAUACAGAAAAUGAUCAUAAGAAAAAGGGGUUUGAUCAUUCAAGGAAAAUCCAAUUUUCUCGCACAACCUUUGUCAUUGCACUGUAUUUCACCUCAUCAGGAAGGAAAUGAUAAUAUAAUCAAGAUCUAAUCCUUGGAUGUUAUCAUUCUUUACAUAAGCUUUUGAUCUAGAACCAAAAUGGUAGUGAACUUCCAGGGAACCUUCAUUGGGAUAAUUAUCCUUCCUUCUAGUAGAAAUGUUGUAAAAGAAUGUUCAACAUCAGCAAGAACAUGCAAAGAAUCAUAACUGCAUACCUAAUUUGACCCAGUGAGAAAAGGAUAAGAGAUAAGUAGGAACCAAAAUGCAGUGGACCCAAUGAGUCACAAAAGUUCAAGCAUAAUCAGGCAUCACUCUUUUCAGGAAUGUAAUUGGUUGGGAUUCUUCAGAGGCAAGCUUGUCAAAAGCAAUGUAAUUUUCAUCCUUGUCAUAAACAUGGCACAUUGUCAUUAUUGUCUUCAUUAAACGCCAAUUCCAUGUAGCCUCAUUUAGAUACUUUCCCCAAUUGUCUUGAAUAGAUUUAUGAGCUGCCCGUAGAUUAUAGCUUGGUAUCCUUGCAGAAAUAUGGUGGGGGAUGUGGACACUGAUAUCAUGACAGAGGACCUCAAUCCUGCAAAGUGGAAAAUCAUCAAUUUUUCACUUAUUUUUACAGGUAGCAAGUAUUUUAUCAUGCAAACCAGCAACUAAGGGAAAUUUUAGAUCUUUUCUGGCUGCAUUCGUUUGAAACAAUUCCAGUCUUGAAAAGACUUUAAGC